GACGAACGCUGGCGGCGUGCCUAAUACAUGCAAGUCGAACGAAGCUGUUUUAACUGGUGCUUGCACCGACUUAAACAACUGAGUGGCGAACGGGUGAGUAACACGUGGGUAACCUGCCCCAAAGCGGGGGAUAACAUUUGGAAACAGAUGCUAAUACCGCAUAACCACAGAAACCACAUGGUUUCUGUGUCAAAGAUGGUUUCGGCUAUCACUUUGGGAUGGACCCGCGGCGUAUUAGCUAGUUGGUAAGGUAAUGGCUUACCAAGGCAAUGAUACGUAGCCGAACUGAGAGGUUGAUCGGCCACUUAGGGAAGAGGACACGGCCCAAACUCCUACGGGAGGCAGCAGUAGGGAAUCUUCCACAAUGGACGAAAGUCUGAUGGAGCAACGCCGCGUGAGUGAAGAAGGUUUUCGGAUCGUAAAACUCUGUUGUCAGAGAAGAACGUGUGCGAGAGUAACUGCUCGUGCAGUGACGGUAUCUGGCCAGAAAGCCACGGCUAACUACAUGCCAGCCGCCGCCGUAA
rnacentral:rRNA from 1 species